UUUAGAAGAAAUAAAAAACUAGAUUAAUAUUAGUUAUGUACUUAAAAAUUAAAAAAUUUGGCGGUGAUUUAAUCUUAUCAGAGGAACUUGUUUUUUAAUCGAUAAUCCACGAAAAAUCUUACUUGUUUUAGUUUUAGAAAAAUCAGUUUGUAUACCAUCAUUAUUAGAUGAUUCUUAAAAGAAAAAUUAUUAAAAAUAAAUAUAAUUAUUUAAAUUAGAUCAUGGUGCAGCUUAUAAACAAGAUAAAAUGAGUUACAAUAAAUUUUUUUAUGAUGAAUUAAUAAAAUAAAUGUUAUUAUGAAGGAGGAUUUGAUAGUAUUAUAAUUUUAAUAAGUUUAUGAGAAAUUGGCUCUAAAUCAUGUACAUAUCGCCCGUCGCUUUCAUUUAUGAAUGAAAUAAGUCGUAACAUA
rnacentral:rRNA from 1 species